GCAAUAGUAGCUCAAUGCCAGAGCGCCGGUCUUGUAAA
rnacentral:tRNA from 1 species